rnacentral:tRNA from 1 species
AGUCCCGUGGUGUAGUGGCCAAUCAUAUGGGCCUUUGGAAAGCCCAUGACGGCGGUUCGAAUCCGCCCGGGACUA